ACAGAUCUCAUGUAUUCAGCGCAUACUCGCACACAGCGGAAUGGACUGGCGAAUACAUUCGAUCCUCAGGGUAGAGGAGGAGAAGAAACUAAAGGGAUGACUUCAGCCACAAAGUCACUUUGACACAGCGAAUGAGGAAUCAGGUCUAUGGAACCCUUCUCUUCCCUUCUGUCAAAAGCCUGAGAGAGCAGACCAAAUGAAAAUAAGGAGCAUUUGUGGGCUAAGAGUGACAUUGGCCGAGAGGUGGAAUGGAGUGAUGGAAAGAGGAGCUUCGACUGAGAAUGAAGGCUGAUGGCUGCCACAUCACAUAGAAGUCCCACAUUCACGUAUAUCAAAAACAGCCAUGCAGCAAAUACCACAGACUCAUGCAAUACUGAAUCGUGGUUUGUUUUGACAUUAAAAUGAUUUAAGACAUUGAUUUAAUAUAGCAUUAUUCAACCUCAUGAUACAAUACAAUGGUAAUCGACAGAGGCAAGCGAGACUCUAAGUCUCUGACACAUGGAAGGGACAUUUCUUGUUUUUCUUAAGGGUAUUUAUGAGCGGGAG
ensembl:lncRNA